GGAGAGAUGGCUCAGCAGUUUAGAGCACUGGCUGCUCUUCCAGAGGACCUGGGUUCAGUUCCCAGCACCCCCA
rfam:Neotoma lepida isolate 417 scaffold_4085, whole genome shotgun sequence.